GGGGAAAGAGGAGAGGGGAGGGGGGAAGGAGUCGCCGGCCAUGGCGCCGGCCGGCGGCGGCGGCGUCGGCGGUGACGGCGGCGGCGGCGGCGGCGCCAGUCACAGGGUAAUGCUUUAGAGGAGCAUACGAAUGGCAUUCACAGUUGAAGCUAGCAGAUCAGCCACCGAAGCGGUGAAGCUAGACUCCACAUGAGUUGUCCCUGUGGUUGAUUCUGGUCACGCUGCUUUGCUAACGCUGUUGUGGAUUACGGGCACAUUUGGUUCCAUAUGGCACUUGAAUUCAAGCAUGCGAAACUCAAUCCAGUUCUCAUCUUCUUCACCUCUAUAAGUUCAGUCACGCUCUUUAAUUAUUCUUAUUUCAAAACAAGGAAUGAUUUCAGCAUGUUCGAAACCUCAACCAUUACGAGAAAAACCAGCUCAUGUUUGUUUCCCCCAAUAUUCAAUUGCUGUGCAAUUGGGUUGAGCAGAGGAAAAUGUAUAACCUUACAUAGCAUGAAUUCACUUCCAAAGAAGGUGGCUAUUUCUUUUAUAUAGAAGAGAGUCACGAAGCAUGCAAGAUU